GACGAACGCUGGCGGCGUGCUUAACACAUGCAAGUCGAACGGAAAGGCCUGCUUUCCCUUGUGGAUUGCGGGUACUCGAGUGGCGAACGGGUGAGUAACACGUGAGUGAUCUGCCCCCAACUUGGGUAUAAGCCUGGGAAACUGUGUCUAAUUACCGAUAGGACUGCAGGGUGGUGCCUGUGGUGGAAAACGAUUUUCUAGUGGUUGGGGAUGAGCUCGCGGCCUAUCAGCUUGUUGGUGGGGUAAUGGCCUACCAAGGCGGCGACGGGUAGCCGGCCGGAGAGCGUCGACGGUCACAUUGGGACUGAGAUACGGCCCAGACUCCUACGGGAGGCAGCAGUGGGGAAUAUUGCACAACGGGCGGAAGCCUGAUGCAGCGACUCCGCGUGGGGGAUGACGGCCUUCGGGUUGUAAACUCCUUUCGACCGAGAGGAAGCCACCUGGUUGGAAGGGUGGUGACGGUAGUGGUAGAAGAAGCACCGGCUAACUACGUG
rnacentral:rRNA from 1 species